rnacentral:rRNA from 1 species
CUACGACCUAAGAUCAGACGUGGCGACCCGCUGAAUUUAAGCAUUUUAAUAAGCAGAGGAAAAGAAACUAACCAGGAUUCCCUCAGUAACUGCCAGUUCAACAGCAGGCGUGGGAAAUGUGGUGUACAGAAGAACGACUCAAGUCCUUCUGAUCGUGUCUCACCCUGCAGAAGGUGUAAGGCCAGUAGGGACCUCCAGCAUGCCAGGAUUAGGUCUUCUCACAGUUGGGUUGCCUCGGAAUGCAGCCCAAAGUGGUUGGUAAACUCCAUCUAAGGUUAAAUAGGGCCACAAGACCAAUGGCCAACAAGUACUGGAAGGGAAAGUUGAAAAGAACUUUGAAGAGAGAGUCCAAGAGGGCGUGAAACCAUCGAGAGGUAAAUGGGUGGCGUCUGUGCAGUCUGCCUGCAGGAUUCAACACAGCGCCAGGUCGGUCGCCUGGAACGGUGGAUGCCCUUGUGGGAUUGCUGCCAGGGCACAUCCAGCCCCGUAGGGCACAUUUCCUCUGUGGCGGUGCACUGCGACCGGCUCUGCGUUGGCUGGGAAGGCCCAGGGGGCAGGUGGUUCUCUGCUCCGACAUCGAGUGUUACAGCCCCUGAAAGCAAUUUUUCUCUGUCUGCGUGGCCGAGAGAGAUUGGCCACUGCCGUGCCCUUCUCCGGCAACUGUUCCGGCCCCUCUUGGGGGUUACCGGGGAGGCAACAGGCGACUGUGGUGGACUGCCCCACAAAGGGUGCCAGUGGAUGAGGUGAUGUUGGUUACCCACCUGACCCGUCUUGUAACAAUAACCAAAGAGUCUAACACAUGCGUGAGUCAGAGGGACGAACAAAACCCUGUGGCGCAAUGAAGGUGAGGGCCGGCGUGCACCGGCUGGGGUGGGAUCCCGUCGCGGUGGGCUGCUCUGUCAGGGAGAUAGAGCUGAGCGUCUGUGAUAGGACCCGUAAGAUGGUGAACUAGGCCUGGCAGGGCAAAGCCAGAGGAAACUCUGGUGGAGGUCCGUAGCGGUCCUGACAUGAAAAUCGGUCAUCCGACCUCUGUAUAGGGGCGAAAGACUAAUCGAACCAUCUAGUAGCUGAUUCCCUCUGAAGUUUCCCUCAGGAUAGCUGGCGCACGGAAACCCCAGUUUUAUCUGGUAAAGCGAAUGAUUAGGGUCUUGGGGCCAAAAUGAUCUCAAGCUCUUAACAAACUUUAAAUGGGUAAGAAGCCUGGCUUGCUGGCGUUGAGCCGGGCAUCGAAUGCAAGUGCCCAGUGGGCCACUUUUGGUAAGCAGAACUGACGCUGUGGGAUGAACCGAAUGCUGGGUUAAGGCACCCAAUGCCAACGCUCAUCAGACCCCAGAAAAGGUGUUGGUUCAUAUAGACAGCAGGACGGUGGCCAUGGAAGUCGGACUCCGCUAAGGAGUGUGUAACAACUCACCUGCCAAAUCAAGUAGCCCUGAAAAUGGAUGGAGCUGGAGCGUCUGGCCCAUACCAGUGUGGUGCGCAAGGAAACCCGGGACGAGGGUCCCGGUGGAGUCGCUGCAGUGUUAGUAGCAAAUAUUCAAACGAGAACCUUGAAGGCCGAAGUGAAGAAGGGUUCCAUGUGAACAGCAGUUGAACAUGGGUCAGUCGGUCCUAAGAAAUGGUUGCGUGCAAUUCGGAAGGGAUGGGCGAUGGCCUCCGUUGUCCUCAGCCAAUCGAAAGGGAGUCAGGUUCAGAUCCCCGAACCCGGAGUGGCGUAGACGAGCGGCGUCCAGUGCAGUAAUGCAAACGAUCCCAGAGAAGCUAGCGAUAUCCCCAUGGAGAGUUCUGUUUUCUUUGUGAAGGGCUGGGCACCGUGGAAUGGGUUUGCCCUGAGAGAGGGGCCCAAGCCUUGGAAAGUGUUGCAGUUCCGGCAGCAACCGGUGAGCUCUCGCUGGUCCUUGAAAAUCCAAGGGAGAUGGUGUAAAUCUCACGCCAGGCUGUACCCAUAUCCACAGCAGUUCUCCAAGGUGAACAGCCUCUGGCAUGUUGGAACAAUGUAGGUAAGGGAAGUCGGCAAGCCGGAUCUGUAACUUCACGAAGGGCUGGGUCGGUCAGGCUGGGGUGUGCGAAGCGGGGGUGGCGCUGACUCUGGAUGUGAGUUGGGCCCUUCCUGUGGUUCGCCCCAGCUGCGGUGGUUGCCUUGCUCCAUUCCUCCCGGGAUUUGGGGCCGGCGUUCUGCCUUGGCCGACGCCUAGCAGCUGAAUCUGACUGUUAAAUUAAACCAAUGCAUCGUGUAAGGCCCACGGUGGGUGUUGACGCAAUGUGAUUUCUGCCCAGUGCUCUGAAUGUCAAAGUGAAGAAAUUCAAUGAAGCGUGGUAAAUAGCGAGAGUAACUAUGACUCUCUUAAGGUAGCCAAAUGCCUCGCCAUCUAAUUAGUGAUGCACUCGAAUGGAUGAACAAGAUUGCCACUGUCCCUACCUACUAUCUAGCGAAACCACAGCCAGGGGAACGGGCUUGGCAGAAUCAGCGAGAACAGAAUACCCUAUUGCGAUUAACUCUAGUCUGGCACUGUGAACAGACAUGAGAGGUGUAGGAUACCACUACUCAUCAUUUUUUCACUUACCCGGUGAGGCGGGGGCAAACCCCGUGGGACUCUCGCUUCUGGCUCCAAGCGCCGGCGCUCGCCGGGCACGACCACUCCAGGACAACCAAACGGCAAACCAUAACCCAGAUGUCCUAAGGCAAGCUCAGGGAGGAUAGAAACCUUGCACGGAGCAGAAGGGCAAAAGCUUGCUUGAUCUCGAUUUUCAUUAUGAAUACAGACCUUGAAAGCGGGUCCUCGGGAUCCUUCUGACUUUUUGUGUUUCAAGCAGGAGGUGUCUGAAAGUUACCACAGGAUAACUGGCUUGUGGGGCCAAGCAUUCAUAGUGGCGCUUUUUUGAUCCUUCGAUGUCGGCUCUUCCUAUCAUUGUGAAGCAGACUUCACCAAGCGUUGGAUUGUUCACCCACUUACAGGAAACAUGAGCUGGUUUAGACCGUGUGAGACAGGUUAGUUUUACCCUACUGAUGAUGUGUUGUUUCAAUAGUAAUCCUGCUCAGUAUGAGAGGAACCGCAGGCUCAGACAAUUGGUGUAUGUGCUUGACUGAGGAGCCAAUGGGGCGUAGCUACCAUAUGUGGGAUUAUGACUGAAUGUCUCUAAAUCAG